AGCCAGGCAGGCAGGCAGUCAGUGUGAAGCGAGCCCUGGUGAGGUGUGGAACCCACGGUCGGUGCUGAUCAUUAGCGUCUCCAUCCUGCGAGGAUUCCCAUAUCCACUGAGGAUUUCCGUUCCCCUUCGUCCCAUAGCGGGAUCUUGCCAAAGCAGGCUCAGGAAGAGUCUGACCUGCAGUGUGUGUGGAUUUCGUCGGAUUCUCGCGAAGAUAUUCAGCGGCGCGGGAGUGAGGGUGUGUCAGUGUUCGCCCCCGAGUGUAGGGAAACCUAUCGGGAGGCCCCAGUGUUUUAGUGAGGAUUACUGUUCACGAGCAAGGAUUCCGUUAUUCGCAGAGGAUUACAACCUGUACGCCAAGGAUCUCCCGCCAUUCAGCGAGGAUUUGAGUGUCCACAAAGGGUCACUGUAAUUGCCCGGGAGAAUUCCGAACGCCAUUGAGGGAUUCCAGGAUCCAUCGACGCUCGAGCAGGGCCAGGCGACAACGACGGCGGUGGUGGUGGCCACGAUUCUGCGAAACCGGUGAGUGGAUAGAGUUACAGAGUCCGAGGUCUGAGAGAGAGAAAAAAGACGAAAGAAAAGAAAAGAGAAGAGAGAAAGAAAGAGAGAGCGAGUACGAAAGAAAAGAAAAGAGAAGAGGGAAACAAAGAGAGAGCGAGUGCUUUGUGAGUAUUUUACGGUUCCACAAGGUAAAGACAAACAGCUGACUGCGUUGGAGUAUCUGUGGUUAAGUGCUUGCUUGCUUGCGUUCUUCUAGUUUACAUUGAGAGGGUAAGUUAGCCUUGUGUUGUUGGACGUGUGUGUGUGUGUGUGUGUGUGUGUGUGUGUGUGUGUGUGUGUGUGUGUGUCUGUGUGUGUGUGUCUGUAUCUGUGUCUGUGCGUGCGUGUGUACGUACGUGCAUGAGUAGGUAUGUGUUUGUCACUGGUUCAUGAAUUUAAUAUUUCUUUAUUCACCUACUAACCCACUUUCACGCCUCAUCCAACCAAGUAUCCGCUCAUGCAUCUGUUUUAUCAGAUGCAUACGGAUAUCACGUGAAAGAUAGUCUGCGUGCCAGUUGUCCGUUGCUGAUGGUGUCAUUAUCGUUAUUACUCCGGCGAAAACGAAUUGCAGUAGUGAUUAGCAAAUUUAGAGGAUUGGUGCAUGAGGAAUUGUAUUGAGCGUUGGCGACGGAAAUGAAGAUGAGUAUAGUUGUGAUACUGAUGGUGAUGGUGAUAAUGGGGAUGAAAAGGAUGACGGUAAUGGUGGUAAUAAUGGUGAUGAUGAUGAUGAUGGUGAUGAUAGUGAUAAUGUGAUUAGUGAUGUUGAUGGUGAUAACAUACAAUGGUGAAGAGUGGUAAAGAUAAAAGUGUAUAUUAAGGGAAAAAUGCUAGGUAAAAAAGGAAAAUACUGCAACUAAAAAAAAAGUAAUUAGAAAACAACAAAUAUUAAGAAGGAAAAUUAAAGAAGGGUGAAACGAAAAAAAAUGAUCCAGAAGGAAAUGAAUUAAUAACCGAAAAAGAAAAAAGAGAAAGAAGCAAAAAUAAACAAAAGCAGGAGAAGAAAAAAACAAUAAGAAACAGAUAAGGAAAGACAAGAAAAAUCAAAAGGGAAACAAGUAGAAGAAUAAAACAAAUAUAAAACGGAAGGAGAAGAAGAAGAAGAAGAAGAAGAAGAAGAAGAAGAAGAGAUCAGGAGAGGACGACGAAGAAAGAGAAUAAGACCAAGAAGCAAACUGCAACUGCUUCUUAAAGCGAAUGAUUCCCAAGUAAAUUGCAGCGCAAACACGAGUUCCCUCCGCGGCCUCCUCAUCUCUCCUCGAAGCCAACCUCGCGUCCGUGAGGCUCGCAUGAAGAUUCCGUCGCGUGGGGUUUAUUUCGGGAUUAUUUCGGCUUUAUUGUCUUCUGUUUUGCUUUCAAGUCGCUUUUUCUUAUUUAUUUUUUUUAGGGGGAGGGGAGCUUUUCUCGUUCUUUUGUUUUAUUUAUUUAUUUUCUUUUUUUCUUUUCUUUUCUUUUUGUAUUUUCUUUUCUUUCGUUAUGGGACGAAGAUGAGGGUUUUGUUUCUGGGAACCGAUUUUUUUUUUUCGUCACGUCCGUUUGCUUUAAUCUUGUUUAUUUAUUUAUUUUUUGUUUUCAUAUUAGUGUGUGUUUUCGUGAAUCGUUUCCUCCUUUCUAAAAGUUUGUGUCCCUUGGAUCCGUGUAUUACUUCUGGAAUCACUUCCCCCUCCGCCAUAGCAGCUAAUUCCCUCGAACUGCCUCGCUAACGCGCCUCCUUUAAUGUGAAUUUCCACAAUCGACGGAGCCAAGUCAUUAGCGAGGCUGAGACGCGCGCAAAAGUUUCUAAUUAACAUCGUAUCGUUGUUCUUGCGUCACCAGCUGGGGACACUGCAUUAUCACGUCUCCCUUCCCCCCCUUUCCCCUUCUAUUG